rnacentral:rRNA from 1 species
UACGUAGGGGGCGAGCGUUGUUCGGAUUUAUUGGGCGUAAAGAGCGUGUAGGCGGCCAGGUAGGUCGGUUGUGAAAACUGGAGGCUUAACCUUCAGACGUCGACCGAAACCAUCUGGCUAGAGUCCGGAAGAGGAGAGUGGAAUUCCUGGUGUAGCGGUGAAAUGCGCAGAUAUCAGGAAGAACACCCGUGGCGAAGGCGGCCAUCUGGAAGAUUACUGACGCUGAGACGCGAAAGCGUGGGGAGCAAACAGG